rnacentral:rRNA from 1 species
AGUGAACGCUGGCGGUAUGCCUAAUACAUGCAAGUCGAACGGAAGCACAGUAAGAUCUUGCCCUUACGGGUGGCGAGUGGCGGAUGGGUGAGGAGUGCAUCGGCAACUACUUUUUCGUGGGUGACAACGUAGGGAAACUUAUACUAACACAGCAUAUGUCCUACCGCAUAAAGCAGUAGUUCUUCGCAGCUUUGCUGACUGAUAUAGCCGGUGUCGGAUUAGCUAGUUGGGUGGGUAAAGGCCCACCAAGGCGACGAUGCGUAGCUGGUCUGAGAGGAUGAUCAGCCACACUGGAACUGAGACACGGUCCAGACUCCUACGGGAGGCAGCAGUGGGGAAUAUUGGGCAAUGGGCGCAAGCCUGAUCCAGCCAUGCCGCGUGAGUGAAGAAGGCCUUCGGAUUGUAAAGCCCUUUUAUUGGGGAAGAAAAACAGCGGAUUAAUACCCCGCUGUUCUGACGGUACCCAAAGAAUAAGCACCGGCUAACUUCGUG